rnacentral:RNase_P_RNA from 2 species
ACAGCAGGCCGCCUUAUCGUCGAGAUUCCCGCCUUCGCGAGGAUUUGGGAGGAAAGUCCGGACACCAUAGGGAAGCAUAACGGCUAACAGCCGUCGGGAUCCCCGCCUUAGCGGAGAUUUCAGGACAAGUGCAGCAGAAAGGAUGUACAGGUAAUGCUGUAGUGAAAUCAGGUAAACUCUAUGCGGUGAAAUGCCACGUAAACCUGUGCUUGAGGGUUCCCGCCCGAUGCAGGAGGGUAGGCAGAUUGAGCGUUUCGGUAACGGAACGUCUAGAUAAAUGAUAAGGUACCGAACUAGCUUCGGUAACAGAACCCGGCUUAUAGGCCUGCUUUUUUU